GGGAAUCGGAGGGCUGAUGAUGUGGAGGAGGCCGAGUCGCUGGGCGCUUUCGGGGCGCUGUGCCCGGAGGCUCAGGCCAGGGGACAGGGAACCUUGGUUAGAGGCGGCCGCGGAGGCUGCAGGAGCCCACACAGGUCCUGCUUUCUUGGCGAGUCCUGCUGCCCGCGACUGAAGGCAAUUGACUUCCAUCCGCAAUCUCAGCUCCAAACGCCUUGCUUUAGAAGCUGGGGGAACCGUCCCUGGGGGAGCGGGUGGCAGGCUGUGAGCCUCCCGCGACCCCUCUGAUUCCUGCACAGUGCCCGAGGGAGAGUGUGCUAGAAAUGGCUUGGCUGCCGAAUGCAUUAUCUUGCCAUUUUCGUAUCCCGAUACCGCACAAACGAUCGCCUGAUCGAUCGGAACUAGGAGGGAAAGGUAGAGUGGAAAUUGAUUUCUGGCAGAGACUGAGGCGCCGAAUGAUAGAGGGAAUAAACAUUUGCCCUGGAUAAAAAUGUUCUUGGUAAGUAAUCUUAUUUUCUGCGGUUGAAAAGGAAACGCAUUGCUUCUCACGGCCCCAUCCCCCACUCCAUUCAUUUAUUUGCUCUCUGUAUGUCAAUCACGAGCUGGGGCAGUGGAAAUUUUCUUUUGCUCCUUCCUAGGAGAGUAGUAGCAUGCAAGGGUGAAUUUGAAGUCGGGACUUUAAGGAGGCAAUAUGAAGGUGUAAGGUCCUUCUCCCACAUUCAAAACUCAAACACAGGUAAAGCAGAUUCCUAUUUGCUUGCUAAAUGGGUAUUUAAAUAUCUCCCCUAUUUCUUACUAACUCUUUCUUUUCUGAAAAUAAAGAAAAUAGUUUCAGGUAGCAGCCCCGUGUCUAUGCUUUUCCUAUACCUUGGCCGCGUUCUAAGAUAUAAUGUUCUUUCAGUUCCAGAAAUGAAAAUGUGCAUAUUUCACAUUUUGCUAGUUUAAGUUAAAGCUAUAGAAGCCAUUUUACUAAUGUGUGCAUCUUUGUUCCAUUUCUUGCACAAGAUACAGAUUACUAGCAUCCAAAAUAGUUAUUUGUAUGUUGUGGUGAUACCUAUAAAUUCAUAAAACCCUCUGGUAUUCACGAGGCUAUAGCACCCCCAGCCUGUACAUGCUCUUUACGUGAAGACGGGUAGUUGUGGGAGAGGGAAGAAGCGGAAUAGCUCUUGAUUGGGCUUACAGCACAUCUCUAGUGUGCAGAAUAACAAAUCUUGCAAAUGGUGUGAACUUAGUUUUUCAAGUGUAAGCUGACCAUUUUGGAUGUGAAAAAUUAAAGGAAACUUGCUCUAAAGGAAAUCAUGGCAGUCUGGGGUUAUAGAAUAUAUUUCACUCGUGAAAUAUUCAUAUUAGAUUUUUUUCCCUCCAUUGUUGUCAAUCCUCCCAUUGUGAACCCCUUAUCCCCAAAUUUUAAUGAUCACGAAUAAGCUAAUUGGUACAAAAUUUAUUGCUGAUGCAAACAAGAUGUCCUUAACCUCAUCUAGAAUAUCUGUAUUGAAAUUGCAUGGCUAAGAAUAGACUUCAUUUCAGGUGAUCAGUUUUACAGCAAUCACAGUAAGGAAUCCCAGAAGAGAGAUAGCUAAGUGGCGUAUUACAACAGCAAGGCAAGCUGCGCGUGUGCACGAGUAUCUAUAGUCUUUCUUACUAUCAAAACUGGCAAGAGAAAAAAAUUUCAGUAUGGACAUGUUUGUAUAACUUUUUUUUUCUCUCCUUAGGCUGUAUUCCAGCCCUAACGAUGUCCUAGAGCAGAAGUUUUUCUUCAGUCGUCUCAUUUUACCAAAAGGAUGAUCUCUGUGUAUGUCUCUGUGUUUUACAGAGGCUGACAAGCCUGUUAGGGGAAUCUUAGCUCCAUCCAUCCAUAAGGAGGAUGAAUAUCCUGAAUUACAUUCAUCACAAAUACAAUCUUAGCAGUUGUAAUAUACAGAGAACAUACUUUUCAUGUAAGAUCUCAAUAUGCUGCCUAAACCUACUUACCUAAACUACUGUUCAAAGAAAUACAGUUUUUUGCUGAGGACAAAACUUGACAAAUUAAAAAAUGUAAGAUUAAGAUUUUUGUUUUUUAUUUAAUUAAUUUUUUUAAUGUGGAAGACUCCCCCUGAGGUAACAUCUGUUGCCAAUCUUCCUCUUUUUGCUUGAGGAAGAUUGUCCCUGAGCUAACAUCUCUGUCAGUCUUCCUCUAUUUUGUAUGGCGGCCUGGGGGCCAGCAAAGUGGAGCGCGUGAAUUAAUCACUAUGCCAUUAGGCUGAUCCCUGAAAUUUUUAUUUUCUAUGUGAAAUAAACAUGAGGUUAUUGUUCUUUCAAAUAUUUGGAGAAAAAAAGUACAGUGUAAAACAUUAAUUUUGUGACCCAUGGUUCCUUAACUUUAAAAUAGUUUAUAGCACUGAAAGUUUAUUAAAUGAUUUAGGUAUUUGAGCAUUAUUUUAAGACAUAUGAUUACAUUUGAUCAACCUCAAAAUACAAGUGUAGAGUCUACAAAGCUUGUUUGUACUUAGACCUCUUUCAAAGGUUACCCAUUUUAAUUUUAUGUUGAGUAUGCCCUUUUGGGGAUACUCUCAAUUCAUACCUAGUAGUUGGCACUCUAGCACAUUUUGUAUUACUGGUAAUGCUUUAUCUACUAUCCUGGCUCCUUCUUUUAAGUAUACGAGUACCACCUAAUAUAUUUGUUACUUAUUUAUCCACUAAAAUCUUUGAUCUAAAAGCAACGUUCAAGAUAUAUUAAAGAAAUUGUGAACCAAUUUGCUUGUGAGUGAAAAUGUCAAUAUGCCUCAGAUUAUUUUAACCUUAAAUCACAUUCAUAACAAAAAUGGGUUGUAGUAAAGCAAGUAAAUUCAAACGGUUCCUUACAUAGAAAAGAGUGUCACGCAGAACACACAUUUAUGCAUAUACAAUUGCCCUCAUUAGAAUAUUUAAAUUUAUUCAUCUUAGUCUCUUUGCUAUGUGUUUAUUUUGGUUUUAGAGCUUUCUCUUUGAAAGUAUCUAAAGUUUCUUAAAUAUCGAAGCGUGCAAGCAUCUUCACGUCUUGCUCCGUAAGACCAAUAUGUUGCUGAAUAAACUGAGCCAACAUAUUUGAAUCUCAAAAAAAGUAUGUUGGAACUUGAAGGGACUUAAAAGAACAUUUAGUUUAACUCCUUCAUUCUGAUGAAGAAAUUGAGAACCAGAGAGGUUGAUUAGUGUAAUCGUACACUAACUAGUAACCCAAGGAACUCUAAAUGUGGUUUUCCUAAUUUAGCUAGUAUUCAUUCUAAAUCAAUUAAAUCUAUUACUAGCUGCUAAAACAGAUAUUAUUUGAGAUUGGGAUAAGGAAUAAAAUAGAGAAAGAAACAAUAAUACAAAGAUGAAUAAAUUGCAGCCUUCAUGGAGUUUAUUGUAUUGAUAACUAAUACUCUUUAUUGUUGAAAAUUUUUGUUUCCCA
ensembl:lncRNA